GAGGAAUAUUGGUCAAUGGGCGCGAGCCUGAACCAGCCAAGUAGCGUGCAGGAUGACGGCCCUAUGGGUUGUAAACUGCUUUUGUAUGGGGAUAAAGUCAAUCACGUGUGAUUGUUUGCAGGUACCAUACGAAUAAGGACCGGCUAAUUCCGUGCCAGCAGCCGCGGUAAUACGGAAGGUCCGGGCGUUAUCCGGAUUUAUUGGGUUUAAAGGGAGCGUAGGCUGGAGAUUAAGUGUGUUGUGAAAUGUAGACGCUCAACGUCUGACUUGCAGCGCAUACUGGUUUCCUUGAGUACGCACAACGUUGGCGGAAUUCGUCGUGUAGCGGUGAAAUGCUUAGAUAUGACGAAGAACUCCGAUUGCGAAGGCAGCUGACGGGAGCGCAACUGACGCUUAAGCUCGAAGGUGCGGGUAUCGAACAGGAUUAGAUACCCUGGUAGUCCGCACAGUAAACGAUGGAUGCCCGCUGUUGGUACCUGGUAUCAGCGGCUAAGCGAAAGCAUUAAGCAUCCCACCUGGGGAGUACGCCGGCAACGGUG
rnacentral:rRNA from 1 species